CCUACGGGGGGCAGCAGUGGGGAAUAUUGGACAAUGGGCGAAAGCCUGAUCCAGCCAUGCCGCGUGUGUGAAGAAGGCCUUCGGGUUGUAAAGCACUUUCAGUGGGGAAGAAAGCCUUGGGGCUAAUACCCUCGAGGAAGGACAUCACCCACAGAAGAAGCACCGGCUAACUCCGUGCCAGCAGCCGCGGUAAUACGGAGGGUGCGAGCGUUAAUCGGAAUUACUGGGCGUAAAGCGCGCGUAGGCGGUCUGAUAAGCCGGUUGUGAAAGCCCCGGGCUCAACCUGGGAACGGCAUCCGGAACUGUCAGGCUAGAGUGCAGGAGAGGAAGGUAGAAUUCCCGGUGUAGCGGUGAAAUGCGUAGAGAUCGGGAGGAAUACCAGUGGCGAAGGCGGCCUUCUGGACUGACACUGACGCUGAGGUGCGAAAGCGUGGGUAGCAAACAGGAUUAGAUACCCUGGAGUC
rnacentral:rRNA from 1 species